CCAAUAGCGUAUAUUAAAGUUGUUGCAGUUAAAAAGCUCGUAGUUGAAUUUUGGGUUUGGCCGAUUGGUCCGUUCUUGUAACGAGUACUGGUCGGUUGGGCCUCACCGCCUGGUGAUGCGUAAUGCCCUUUAUUGGGUGUUGCGAGUAGCCAGGACCUUUACCUUGAAAAAAUUAGAGUGUUUAAAGCAGGCUUAUGCCGGAAUACAUUAGCAUGGAAUAAUAGAAUAGGACGAUGAUUCUAUUUUGUUGGUUUCUAGGAGCAUCGUAAUGAUUAAUAGGGAUAGUUGGGGGCAUUAGUAUUCAAUUGUCAGAGGUGAAAUUCUUGGAUUUAUUGAAGACUAACUACUGCGAAAGCAUUUGCCAAGGAUGUUUUCAUUAAUCAAGAACGAAAGUUAGGGGAUCGAAGACGAUCAGAUACCGUCGUAGUCUUAACCAUAAACUAUGCCGACUAGGGAUCGGGCGAUGUUGUUUCAAUGACUCGCUCGGCACCUUAUG
rnacentral:rRNA from 1 species